rnacentral:rRNA from 1 species
UACAGAGGGUGCGAGCGUUAAUCGGAAUUACUGGGCGUAAAGCGUGCGUAGACGGUCAUGUAAGUCGGGUGUGAAAGCCCCGGGCUCAACCUGGGAAUUGCAUUCGAGACUGCAUGGCUAGGAUGCGGAAGAGGGAAGCGGAAUUUCCGGUGUAGCGGUGAAAUGCGUAGAUAUCGGAAGGAACACCAGUGGCGAAAGCGGCUUCCUGGUCCAGCAUCGACGUUCAGGCACGAAAGCGUGGGGAGCAAACAGG